AAUUCAAAGCAUUCCCUUUUACGAUACUCCACUUGAUUGCAAGAAAAGAAUGUUGUCAUUGUUCUCUUCCUCACCAAUCAAAUUAAGGUAUGCUUUUCAAUUCCCAAAUUCUGUUCCCCACUCCGCUCCACUCCGCUCUCCGUCUUUAUUUCCGUUCAACUUCAUCCCUACACUCUCCCUCUCAGUCCCAAUCACUUGAUGAAGCUGUUGAUUCCUUUACUCGCAUGCUCUCUAUGCGUCGUCCUCCAUCCAUCAUCCAAUUCACCAAGAUUUUGGGAUCUCUUGCCAAGACCAACCAUUUCCCCACCGCCAUUUCCCUUUUUCAGCAAUUGCAAGCCAGGGGAAUCGCUCCCAACUUGUUUACUUUGAACAUCUUAAUCAAUUGUUGUUGCGGCAUGAGUCGUAUGACGCUUGCUUUCUCUGCUUUCGCCAAGAUUUUCAGGAUGGGUUUUCAGCCUGAUGCCGUAACCUUGACAACAAUCCUGAAAGGCCUCUGUCUCUCUGGUAAUGUUCAAAAAGCACUGCACUUUCAUGCCACAGCGCUGGCUUAUGGAUUUCACUUCGACCAAGUCACUUAUGGGACCUUGAUCAAUGGGCUCUGUAAGAACGGGCACACAUCAGCUGCUAUUCAAGUGUUGAGAAAGAUCCCACGGCAUGGAAUUGUUCCUAAUGUCGUAAUGUACAGCGCAAUUAUUGAUAGCCUCUGCAAGGUUGCGCUUGUAAGUGAUGCUUUUCAUUUAUAUUCUGAAAUGCUUGCUAAGGGAAUUUCUCCCAAUGUUAUCACUUACAACACUCUAAUUUAUGGAUUGUGCCUUGCGGGUCAACUCAAGGAAGCCAUUCUUUUGCUAAAUGAUAUGAUUCUCAUAAACAUUACUCCAGAUGUUUAUACCUAUAGUACUUUGAUCGAUGGGCUAUGCAAGGAAGGAAAGAUCAAAGAUGCUAAGAAUGUGUUGGGCUUGAUGACAAAACAUGGUGUGAAACCAAAUGUGGUCACUUAUAACAGCUUAAUGGAUGGGCAUUGUCUGGUUAAUGAGGUAAAUAAGGCAAAAUUUGUAUUCAACACUAUGGCUCAAAGCAGAGUGUCACUUAAUGUUCGAAGUUACAGUAUCAUGAUUAAUGGCUUGUGCAAAAGUAAAAUGGUCGAUGAAGCCUUGAAUCUCUUUGAAGAAAUGCGUCAUAAGUACUUGGUUCCAAACACGGUAACUUACAACACUCUUAUUGAUGGCUUGAGCAAAUCAAAGAGAAUCUCUUGUGCUUUGGAGCUUCUUGUCGAGAUGCAUGAAAGAGGUCAACCCAUUAAUGUAGUCACUUACAGUUCCUUGUUGGAUGGGAUGUUCAAUAUCAAACGAGUUGACAAGGCAUUUAUGUUAUUCGAGCAAAUGAAAGAGAGUGGCAUUGAUCCAGAUAUAUAUACAUACAGCAUACUUAUAGAUGGCCUGUGCAAAAGUGGAAGACUUCAAAAUGCAAAAGAGAUAUUUCAAGAUCUUUUCAUUAAAGGCUGUCGUCCAAAUGUGCGGACAUACACCAUUAUGAUCAAUGGGCUUUGCAAAGAGGGUCUGCUUCACGAAGCAUUGGCACUCAUGACAAAAAUGGAAGACAAUGGUUGCUUACCAGAUGCUGUGACUUCUGAAACAAUCAUUCGUGCUCUAUUUGAAAACGGUGAAAAUGAUAAAGCAGUGAAAUUUCUUCGUGAAAUGAUAUCUAGAGGCCUGUUGCAAGGAUAAAAUCAGAUGAGAUUCUUCUUGUUAGACAUCACAAAUGUUGUUUGUAUCUCUUUCUUUUUAACUUUUGUUUUGUUACCUUCUUCAGGAUCAUAUAUCCAUUACAUAUUAAUGCUUUUGGAUCUUGACAUGAUUGUUACUCUUUAUUCUGCUUUAUCCACCCUAUGCGUUUUCUUUGUCAUUACUUAUUUUAUGGCAUUUUCAGUGACUAGAUGGUUGUCAUACGUUUCUUGUGAGCAUCUAUCAUUAUUUCCUUUUUUCUUUUUUGUAAUUAUAUAAAUGCAUUGAUGUUAAUUUAGCACUGAGCUGAAAUGGUUCUGAGUUCAUCAUUGAAAGGGAAUCACGUGUUAGUUGUGAAGCUUCCCUUCACUCUUAUUGUCUUUCUAUCUUUUCAUUUCCCCCACAUUUAAAGUAAACUCCCAUGCAGCACAGACUGGCUGAUGUAGCUUUAGAUGAAAUCUCAAAUGUUAUUUUGCAAACAUCUUCUCAUUUUUCUGUGUUCAUGCAGUUAUACCCGAGGCAUAAUGUACCAAAGCAAUUAACAUGACAAAGAAGGAAAGAAGAGGCAGAACAAUUUCUCUCCCCAAGCCCCAGCUAGGAAGGGUUGCACAUCAGCCAGGGGGAUAAUCAUGGACCACCCGCAUAGCAGUUUCGUCGACAAAGGGCAGCCAUCCUGCCAAGUAGAAGGAGAUAGUCAAUAGCAGUCAAACGGACCUGUCUUAAAGCAUGUAUAUAAAGGAACUGCGAUUCAAACUUCAAAGUCAAAGGAUUUUGAUCAAACACCAGCCUCUUGUGCAAUCUCCAAGCACCCCAAAGAGUAGCAAGAAACAUUUGCACAGGUUAAUGCUCACAAAAUUUGGAACACUUCAUCAUCAAUUGCAUGUUCCCAUAAAAUCAUGUUAAGAAAAAUGAUAAACCUAUCAACUUUACAAUAAAAUGAGAAAUUUUGGUGGUAUACUCGAGCUUUUAAGUUUGAAUCUCAUUACAGUUAAAAUAUUGUGUUAAUAAACAAUGA